rnacentral:misc_RNA from 1 species
GUUAGGUUAUUACAAGAGCCACUCUCUUUUCAACGCCAUAGUUCACUUACUACAAUUUGCUUUUGAAGCUCCUAGCCAUUGAACUUCAAAAUUCGAAGUUGUUAAGUCAGGGAGAUUUCACUGGUAAAUUUUCUUGGUAGGAAAGAGAAAGAGGUUGAGUUCAGUUAUCAUAAAUAUGUUUGUAAUUGUAUAGUUUUAUUUGAUGUCAACAAAUGUUUUUAUUUAUUUGAUUUUAAUAUUUAGCAUUUCCUUGCUUAUCAAUUUUAUCUGGAGGAGCAUUUGGAAAAAUUUAUNNNNNNNAAUUCCUCAAUAGAUGGGAUACGAUUUGUAAUUGUAUAUCAAUGCUUUUAUGAAGAAAUAUUACAGUGCUUGCAUCAUAUGGCUGUUAUUAAUAUACUGUUACAGUAUCUUCAUGCGUGUUUGUUGUCAGUGCAUGGUGUAUACACUCUUGACUAAAGACUUCAAUG